ensembl:lncRNA
CAUGCAGAUAUUCUCCCAGCCCUGGGGAAGAUCCGAGAUAAGCAGAGAAGUGACAUACAAAUGGCAAGGAGGAGAGAGUGAUCUAAUCGACUGGCCGCGAGCGUGAUUCCAACCAGACCUCUGAUUUUCAAACUCCUUUUUUAAAAAACAAUGAAGUUGAAGAAGAAAGCGGAGUGUCUUUGUUUCAGGACAAGGGCCCUGCAGAGCCCUCUUUGACCACCAGAGGUCAGAAGCAAAACAUCGCAGCCCCACCACUGAGCCCUCAUUUCCUCAAUCGCUGUUCUGGAGAGAGGGAAGCAGAGGAAUCAGCAGAAAUACCGCUUCAUUCACAGUACACGAAGGACCGCAGGCAAUGGAGGUGGAAGGUGGCAAGCUCUCCAGGGGAGCUGGAAAAGACCUUAAAGAUCAUCAAGUCCAACCACCAACCUGACCUACUGAGACUCAGACAGCUUCCAUCUUCCCCUUUUGUUGAUCCCGUUCCUAAAAAUCUCAGGUAAAGGAGACUCGGAAUUUCCUAGGAUUUAAAUGCAUCUCCACUGAUGCAAAUCAGGCCAAUUAUUUUGCAUCCUCUCAUAGCAGACAGAGAGGAGUUCGAUCUCUCUCAUUUCUAUUAUAACCCUUGAUGAACUGGUGACUGGUCCCUGCCCUUUCCUCACCCCUACCCUCCAGUCUUUCCCCGAGUAAGAACAGCAAAUCCUAGAAUUUAAGCACGAGUACCAUUCUGUAAUUCUCCUAUCAUACUUCAUUUUUUCCUCAGUUCUCUUUGCAGCUUGUCAUAUCUGUCUCUAAAGCGUGGCUAUCAGCCCUGGGUAGAGUAACACUCCAGCGGAG